CUGUCUAGGCUCCAGGUGUUCUAGUGUCUGUUACUCUGUCUAGGCUGCAGGUGUUCUAGUGUCUGUUACUCUGUCUAGGCUCCAGGUGUUCUAGUGUCUGUUACUCUGUCUAGGUUCCAGGUGUUCUAGUGUCUGUUACUCUGUCUAGGUUCCAGGUGUUCUAGUGUCUGUUACUCUGUCUAGGCUGCAGGUGUUCUAGUGUCUGUUACUCUGUCUAGGCUCCAGGUGUUCUAGUGUCUGUUACUCUGUCUAGGUUCCAGGUGUUCUAGUGUCUGUUACUCUGUCUAGGCUGCAGGUGUUCUAGUGUCUGUUACUCUGUCUAGGUUCCAGGUGUUCUAGUGUCUGUUACUCUGUCUAGGCUGCAGGUGUUCUAGUGUCUGUUACUCUGUCUAGGUUCCAGGUGUUCUAGUGUCUGUUACUCUGUCUAGUCUCCAGGUGUUCUAGUGUCUGUUACUCUGUCUAGGUUCCAGGUGUUCUAGUGUCUGUUACUCUGUCUAGGCUCCAGGUGUUCUAGUGUCUGUUACUCUGUCUAGGCUCCAGGUGUUCUAGUGUCUGUUACUCUGUCUAGGCUCCAGGUGUUCUAGUGUCUGUUACUCUGUCUAGGCUCCAGGUGUUCUAGUGUCUGUUACUCUGUCUAGGCUCCAGGUGUUCUAGUGUCUGUUACUCUGUCUAGGCUCCAGGUGUUCUAGUGUCUGUUACUCUGUCUAGGCUCCAGGUGUUCUAGUGUCUGUUACUCUGUCUAGGCUCCAGGUGUUCUAGUGUCUGUUACU